rnacentral:rRNA from 1 species
GACGAACGCUGGCGGCGUGCCUAAUACAUGCAAGUCGAACGCAGUGGGGACGGGUGAGUAACACGUGGGUAACCUCCCAUCAGAGGGGAUAACACUUGCAAACAGGUGCUAAACCGAUACUGAUGGAUGGACCCGGGGUGCAUUAGCUAGUUGGUGAGGUAACGGUUCACCAAGGCCAAGAUGCGUAACUGGCCUGAGAGGGUGAUCGGGCACACUGGGACUGAGACACGGCCCAGACUCCUACGGGAGGCAGCAGUAGGGAAUAUUCGGCAAUGGGCGAAAGUCUGAUCGAGCCACGCCGCGUGAGUGAAGAAGGUUUUCGGAUCGUAAAGCUCUGUUGGUAGAGAAGCGGUACCUAACCAGAAAGCCACGGCUAACUACGUGCCAGCAGCCGCGGUAAUAC